GCCCCUGUAGUAUAAUGGCAUUACAACGGUUUUGUACUCCGUAGAUAGGCGUUCGAUUCGUCUUAGGGGCUCCA
rnacentral:tRNA from 1 species